GAGAAAGCUGCUGCUACAAUUUUAUUGGUCUUCAUGUUCGAUUCCUUUCAGUCGGAGUUGAGUCUCGUGCCAGUUACUUGACAAUGAUCGUGCCGAUCAUGCCGGCUUCCCGGUGACCUGGGAUCAGACAUCCGUAUUCGAACUCGCCGGCCUUGGUGAACUUCCAGACGAUCUCAUCGGCCUUCUUUGGAGCAAGCCGUUUGCCAUUCGGAUCAUCGUGCUCCAUGUCAGGGCUCUUCUUCAUCGCCUCGCCAUGCUUCAGAUUCUCCGCCGUUGUGGCGAGGAUGAAUUCGUGGUCAAGCUCGCCAUUGUUACGCAGCACAAACUUGAUCUGCUCGCCCUUCUUCACCUCGACUUUCGCCGGCAUGAACAUCAUCUUGCCGUCCAUCUCGCCC
rnacentral:misc_RNA from 1 species